GUCGUAACAAGGUUUCCGUAGGUGAACCUGCGGAAGGAUCAUUACAGAGACAAGUGCCCCAUGGGCACAUCUCCCACCCCGUGUCUACCAUACCUAUUUGCUUUGGCGGGCCUGCCCUGGCGGCUUCCGGCGCAUGCUGGAUCGCGCCCGCCAGAGGGACCAAACCCAUUUAAUGCUGUCAGAAUGCCAUUUAAAUAUUUAAAACUUUCAACAACGGAUCUCUUGGUUCCGGCAUCGAUGAAGAACGCAGCGAAAUGCGAUAAGUAAUGUGAAUUGCAGAAUUCAGUGAAUCAUCGAAUCUUUGAACGCACAUUGCACCCCCCGGCAUCCCGGGGGGCAUGCCUGUUCGAGCGUCAUUUCAACCCUCAAGCCCGGCUUGGUGUUGGGUGCCACCUGCGGGUGCGCCUUAAAGCUAUUGGCGGCAGCGCUUGGCUUCCAGCGAAGUAAACAUCCGCUGUGGGGCCCAGUCGCCGUGCCGCCCGGCCAAAUUCCUCGGAAUUCUCAAAGGUUGACCUCGGAUCAGGUAGGGAUACCCGCUGAACUUAAGCAUAUCAAUAAGCGGAGGAAAAGAAACCAACAGGGAUUGCCCCAGUAACGGCGAGUGAAGCGGCAGCAGCUCAAAUUUGAAAUCUGGCCCCGUGCCCGAGUUGUAAUUUGUAGAGGAUGCUUCGGGCGCGGCCCAGUCUAUGUCCCUUGGAACAGGGCGUCGUAGAGGGUGAGAAUCCCGUAUGCGACUGGCCGCCGCCGCCCGUGUGAAGCUCCUUCGACGAGUCGAGUUGUUUGGGAAUGCAGCUCAAAUUGGGUGGUAAAUUUCAUCUAAAGCUAAAUACGGGCUGGAGACCGAUAGCGCACAAGUAGAGUGAUCGAAAGAUGAAAAGCACUUUGGAAAGAGAGUUAAACAGUACGUGAAAUUGUUGAAAGGGAAGCGCUUGCGACCAGACUUGCGCGGGGCUGAUCACCCGGUGUUCUCACCGGUGCACUCGGCCCCGCACAGGCCAGCAUCGGUCUCGGCGGCUGGAUAAAGGCCCUGGGAACGUGGCUCCCCACGGGGAGUGUUACAGCCCAGGGUGCAAUGCGGCCCGCCGGGACCGAGGACCGCGCUCCGGCUAGGAUGCUGGCGUAAUGGUCGUAAGCGACC
rnacentral:rRNA from 1 species